GUGCCAUGAUGUUUUACAAAAACACAUCAUUCUGACAUAAGAUUAUGGGGAACAUCUUAGAUAACUGAGCACA